UCUCUCUCUGCAUCUUGAUCUCCAUGAUGUCAGCUGCGUCCUUCUGCCACAUGCUUCACCAUGAUGUUCAGCCUCCUCUUAAGCCCCCCAAAAAGGAGCCAGGCUUCUAUGGACUAAGAUCUCUGAAACCGUGAGCCCUCAGAUAAACUCUUCCUCCUUUAUUGUUGCUCUUGUCAGAUCCUUUAGUCACAGCAGCGAAAGAGCUGACUAAAACAAUCCUAACAGACAGGCACCAGCUUAGAAUCAGAGCCGCCCAGGACGGUGGUGGCUGCUGCGUAUCCCGCAGUGCUCUGGCCUUCUGGACUCCGCUGCUCCUGGUGUUUUCCUGUUUCCCCACAGAGACGGGUGGGAGGGAUCUGGCAGGUGUUUGGGACGGUCGUGCCAAUCUUCUCCCUGCUGGAGAUGUGGACCGCGUCAGCCUUCUCUGCUGUGGAAUCCUCGUGGAAGAGUGUGAAACAGAGAAUUGGAGAAUGUGUUUGUAAAAGUAAUAUGGAGCCAUGCAAAUUUCUUUAACAUACCACCGCAGUCCUGGUGGGGAGCACAGGUGUGCAGUUACUCACAACUCUCCCAGCACAAGUGAGAUGCAAAGGAGCAGACACCAUCCCUGUCUCUGACAUCACAAAUCCAACUGGCACGGUCUUCAGAGCUGUGAAAAUACAACAGGAGAAUACACCGUUCUCUUCCCUGGAGGAGUGCUGGAAGCUAAUCUGGGUGCUAACACCCUCAGCACCCUGGUCUCCAUUGUUGGACUCUGCCUUGUAUCAUACAGUUUAUGAAUAUUUUCCAUUAUGAUUGCAAAGCAGAUUCUACAUGUGUUGGUAUCAAAGCUAUUGCAACUGUAAGUAUUUUCCUCCAGAGUUCUGUAAACACUGUUGAUUUGAGCCUCAGGAAGAUGAAACAUGAUAUUUGGUACACUCAGGAACAUGACUAAGCCUCUAAAGAUUCCUUGCAAAUGCCUCUCUAAAGCAUAAUGUCACUUUUAGGAAGGUAACACAUUUUUCUUUUAGAAUAUCAGAAAAUGCAACUCAUUUAAUUCAACUUCAUUUCUUAAGAGGAAAGGGAAGAGGUUUAAAUCUAGAUAAAAGAUAAAGAUGACUUUAUUUUUUGUUUAUUAUUUUAAAAAUUGCUUUAUGUUGUAAAUAUUUAUUCCGGCUAUGACUUAAACACAAGUAUCAAUCCAAUACCCUGGAUAAUUAAUAUUUAUUCUGAUUUGGUGAUGUCUGAAUGUGAGCCCCUAUUUGCACUAAGUCCAUGUGAAAAAGGUGGAGACCCAGGGCCUGAAACAGAAGAGUACUCACCUUAUAGAAAGAAAUCAGGCAGUCCUGGGACACCAGAGACACGUUUCACUUAUGAAGAUCAUGAUAAAAAAUUCUGCAAUUUGUUAUUUGAUUUUUAACUUUAAGAGGUACUCAAAAUUUAGGAUACCUUCAGUUUUAAUGGGGACUCAAUGGAAAAUUGGCAACUUUGAAUGUCACUGGGAGAUAGCAAUCUCUGUCACUUCUGUCCUCUGUGGAUAAAAGCCAGCUUUGAAGGCUUUGGAAGUAUUUCUGAUAUCUGUGAUGGACUGGCAAUCACUUCUGCAAUAAUAUUAAAAAAGACCAUCAUCACAACAAUAUAUUAAUGAAAAUAAGAAGUCAAAAACCUUUUCUUGGUGAAUUCUGAAAAAAUCAUCAAUGAUUUUCUUCCCAUAUGAUAUUGUUAUGUCCACAAAGAUUGGAGUUUAGUCUGCAAUUGCUUGCUCUUCUUCAGUGGAACAUCUGUUUGUGUGUUCCAAUCCCAACUCAUGCCCACAUUUUUUUACAAUGGAAUGACUGUCCCAUUUUGAGAGCCUUAUUUGGAGUUCUAAAAUAAAACUCUCCAAACUGCCAUCAGGGUGGCAUAGGAUGGGAAGUUAUGAAAUUUUCUUUAUUUAACAGGGAUUUGUGGCCAUCCUAAUGAUGCUGACCUGUCUGCAAAUGUUAAUCUCACUCCUUCUCUCCAUGGUCAAGUAUAAUGUAGAUGACAAGAAUAUUUACUGGGUGAGUACAAUUCUUGAGAGAAUAGGAACAAAUUCCAUUAUUUCAUUGAAUGAUGUCAAGAAUUCUUUUUUACCUUUGAUGAAACAAACUAUGGAGAAAAGCUGCAAGAGGUUCUGUGUCCACAGUGAAGAAGGAAGGUCAUGGGCAGGCUUAACCCCAAGGGCAUGGCAGAAGAUGCUUUCCAUAAGUAAGACAUUUUCCCUCUCACGUUUUAUUAUAAGAAGCAACAGAACAGCUGCGUUUUCCAUAUUAUGUUUGGAAAUCUCCUCAGUCACAUGUCCACGUUGACCAUUUAUCAUUUUUGUUUUCAACACAUAAGUGCCCGAGAGAACUCUGUGCAACUUCUGCUACUUCACAUCAAUACCUCUUUCCAGUCUCCGUAGCACGUGCCGCUCUUCCUUGGGACAACAGACAACAUUCUCAGUGUCCUCAUUUCUCCUAACAGAAUGAGUCACCUUAGGUUUUUUCAUUUGUUCAUUUGUUUGUUUCAAUACUGCUCCUCAAAAAUUCUUAAAUCUCUUUCAGUUGAAGGUGUUGUCCUAUCUUUUAAUUAAAGAUAUCACAGAAUUGGUUAUCAAAAUUCUUAAAUUUCUUUCAGAUUUAAUGCUUCUCCUAGAUUUUAGAUAUUGGUUUUGGUAACAUCUCGUAACCAGUGCCAGACUAUGUAAGUGUUUUCUAUUGUUGCAUAACAAUUCCAAUAAACUGACAAAUUAGAAAUAAUAUCUCCUAUCUCCUUACCAUCACAAAGUUCUGAAGAUCAGAUUCCAGGUGGGCCUGGCUGGAUUCUCCUGGCUGGACCCCUUAAUUGUGGGUCAGGGUUCACCCUCAGUCUUAGAGGACACUGACAGAUAUUUUGGAGGGAGAGCUCUCUCUUUGCUGAGCACUAUCAUCUUUACAUCUCCCCUACUUCUUCUUUUACCAGAAAGAGAAAACACUGGUUUUCUUAAGUAUCUGAGGAUUGAACCCAGGACACUCAUGCCCUGAGCUAUGUCACCAGCGACUUUCAUCUUAUUUAGAGAGAGAGGUCUUGCUAAGUUGCCCAGGCAGGCCUCAUGUUUGCAGUCCUCCUGCUGCAGACUCCUGAGUAGUGGGAUGAGAGGCCCGUUCCCCAGAGUUGGGCUAAAAUGUCCAGCUUUGAAAUCUCCUGGGAUGACAUUUGGCCCUUGAAGUAGUGCAUUUCCCACCACAUUAUAUAACAGAAUCGGAGGAUGGCACCAUCCAUUGAGGUGAUAAAGAGACAUGAAAACAGCCGCUACAGCUACAGCUGCUCUCUCAUAUCUUUACCGUGUGCAUAGCGAGAGUGCACAGAACAAAGACAUCUACUUGUUAGACCACGGAUCUGAGUGAAACACGUUUCUUCUCUCACAGGACACGCUCGCGUGCGCCUUUCUUCCCAUGCAGACCUCACCGUCACCGUCAGUUCAUUCAUUAGACUCCUUUGAGUCUAAAACACACGCAGCUCACCAGGGUACUGUCGCCCAGUGAGCAUACCGCACCAAUCUCAGGUGUCAAGGUCUUUGAAUACUGUAGUUCUCAUCAACAAAUCCUUGUGGUAAGUCCUGGGACAAAUUAUUAGUCCUAAUAAGGAUUCUGAGGUGGGAAUUAUGGAGAUCUCCCAAGAUGUGGUACAAAUUACUAAGGCUCCAUCACAGUUUCUUGGCUGAGAGGGAUCAACUUUUCCACUCCCCUCUGCCCUGUUACACCACUGUCCAUGUCUAUGCCUCUUGGAGUGGGCUUUGGAGAAACCCUUUCACCUGUGCAUCCAGUUCCUAAUGGGGGCGGGGGUUGUGCUGGAGCUGAUUGACACUUCAGACCUUCCCUGGCCAUUGCAAGCCAGGGCUUUGUGACGAGAUGUAAAGGCAGAUGUUUUAUUCUCAACAUUUGGCUUUUUCCUCUGGGCUCUGUGAAGGUGGUUCCAGUCCCCACUGUUACAUCCACAUCCCACUCAGCAGAAAGGAAGAGGGAAAUGGGAGCAUAGCCCCUUAGGCUUAAGUGAGUGACCCCUAAGUAAGACACGGCAUGCAUCGUCACAUUUCACCAGCCAUUUCUUCAUCUUGAGCUGCCAGAGUGCCUGGGAUAUAAAGAAACAACUGAAUAUUCAUUUUCAAGUUUAGACUAUUACAAUUAUUAUUAAAGAAUAAGAAGGGAAAUAUCAGCAGCAGAACCAUAGGUUAGGCAUUAUAAGAAAUUUAUGAAGAUAGAAUAAUCAUUUCUCAUUAAAAUUUAUAUCAUAUUAUAUUACCAAAUAAUCAAAAGAGAAUGGUAUAGCACUACACACAAUCACAACUAAGAUGUUUGCACAGAAACACAAAAAACAUGUUCAAAAACUUUGGAAGCUUAUUUAUAUUCCCUUAGUAACUCAUUAUCUUCGAGUCCCUCAGAGGUUUACCAUAUUGCCAAAGAUCCAAUACUAUCUUGUUGAUAUUCCUCAUUCAACAUCAUAAAGGGGGGAACCCUACUACCUCUCCCUAUUUUUGUUAUGCAAGAAUUAUUUUAACAAGGAUGCAUCGUUUUUUUUCCUUCAUCUUCCUGAAAUGCUGGUAUGAUAGACUGAUAACUCUCUUGGCAAAAUAUUGAGGAAAAAAAUGAAUCCUGAGGUAGUUUCAGUCAUGAUUGACGUUGAUGUCAACUUCUGCCCUGUUUGGAGUUCAUUCAUUAGACUCCUUUGAGUCCAAAACACAUGCAGCUCACCAGUAUAAUGAGGAGUGUUAUUUUGAAGCAAUGUAUUUCGAAAUCAGUAGACUUAGGUGUGGU